AGAAAAUCGACAUAGAUUCACGCAGUUUUCGGUGUUGUUCCACCACUCGUGGUUUCAGAAUUAAGUGUUCAGAAAAAUGUUCCGUUUCGUCAAAUUGGCACUACUGUCCACAGCCAUGUGGGUACUGGUGGAGUCUUCACCCCAGAAUGAACUGAAAGAAGGCGACUGUAACUGUCCACACUGUGAAUGUAUAAGCAGAGGCGUUUGUCCGUCCGAAAGAAUCAUCAAUUUACCCUGUCCCGGCAAUUUCAUAUUCGUUUGCUGCAACAUGACCACCGGUUUGGAGAACACCAAAUAUGACAUCGAUACCGCACAAAAUGACAUUGUGUCCAUCGAAUUAAAACCAUAAAAAACGCAUUAAUCGCCCACCUGACGCUUUCCUUUUUUUCUCCACGUCCGAGAAAUCCAAGGAGCUCUCCGUAAGCGAUCCGAUGACGUUUUUGCCCUCCUCGCUUUUUGGCGGGUCCUUCACGUCCUUCUCGCACUUGGCUAAUCUACCCCAUGUACAUUCUGCAUCCACCGUGAUCCACGUUAUUAAAUCUUCCACUCGCAGGACGACUUUUUCCGAAAUGGCCAGUACUUCGUCCUGUGGAGAAAACAGAAAUACGUCAAGUUUGCUUAUCAUAUUCAAUCAAUGUAAUUUACUAAAAAUAUAAAUAUAAUUUGUGGUGCUUGU